rnacentral:rRNA from 1 species
AUUGAACGCUAGCGGGAUGCUUUACACAUGCAAGUCGAACGGCAGCGCGGACUUCGGUCUGGCGGCGAGUGGCGAACGGGUGAGUAAUGUAUCGGAACGUGCCCAGUAGCGGGGGAUAACUACGCGAAAGCGUAGCUAAUACCGCAUACGCCCUACGGGGGAAAGCAGGGGAUCGUAAGACCUUGCACUAUUGGAGCGGCCGAUAUCGGAUUAGCUAGUUGGUGAGGUAACGGCUCACCAAGGCGACGAUCCGUAGCUGGUUUGAGAGGACGACCAGCCACACUGGGACUGAGACACGGCCCAGACUCCUACGGGAGGCAGCAGUGGGGAAUUUUGGACAAUGGGGGCAACCCUGAUCCAGCCAUCCCGCGUGUGCGAUGAAGGCCUUCGGGUUGUAAAGCAUUUUUGGCAGGAAAGAAACGUCGCGGGCUAAUACCCCGUGGAACUGACGGUACCUGCAGAAUAAGCACCGGCUAACUACGUG